rnacentral:rRNA from 1 species
CUACGGGAGGCAGCAGUGGGGAAUUUUCCGCAAUGGGCGAAAGCCUGACGGAGCAACGCCGCGUGAGGGAUGAAGGCCUCUGGGCUGUAAACCUCUUUUAUCAAGGAAGAAGAUCUGACGGUACUUGAUGAAUAAGCCACGGCUAAUUCCGUGCCAGCAGCCGCGGUAAUACGGGAGUGGCAAGCGUUAUCCGGAAUUAUUGGGCGUAAAGCGUCCGCAGGCGGUCUUUUAAGUCUGCUGUUAAAGCGUGGAGCUUAACUCCAUUUCGGCAGUGGAAACUGGAAGACUAGAGUGUGGUAGGGGCAGAGGGAAUUCCCGGUGUAGCGGUGAAAUGCGUAGAUAUCGGGAAGAACACCAGUGGCGAAGGCGCUCUGCUGGGCCAUAACUGACGCUCAUGGACGAAAGCCAGGGGAGCGAAAGGGAUUAGAUACCCCUGUAGUCCUGGCCGUAAACGAUGAACACUAGGUGUCGGGGGAAUCGACCCCCUCGGUGUCGUAGCCAACGCGUUAAGUGUUCCGCCUGGGGAGUACGCACGCAAGUGUGAAACUCAAAG